GAAUGUGAGGGCGAUCUGGCUGGCACAUUUGUCACCCCACUGAUCGCCGAGGUUGAUUCAGUUGAUCUGGCUGGCUAGGUGGGUGUCUCCCUCCUCAACACUCCCUCUGGGUCUUUCCCAAAACUGUGCGCUUCGUGGACGAGGGUGACCACCCCUCAUAGAGGAGGACCUUUCCUAGGUCAAGGGUGUAGGAGUAGCUGCUCUCCUGUACUAGAACCUCCAAACAAGCUCUCAAGAAUUAUCUCUCAAUUCUGGAGGAAGAAAUUCAAAGGCUUACAUUUAAAUGAUCCCUAUUU
rnacentral:snRNA from 1 species